CCUGUCCCUGUCCCUAUCCCUGUCCCUGUCCCUGUCCCUGUCCCUGUCCCUGUCCCUCUCCCUGUCCCUCUCCCUGUCCCUGUCCCUGUCCCUGUUCCCGUCCCUGUCCCCGCCCGGACCAACCAACACCAAAACCUUGUUUUUAAGGGCACUCCAACCUUCCCCCUCGGCCGCGCGUCCGGGAGGGUCGUUCGGGAGCUCCGGGGUUCAAUAAUUCCAGCCGCUCUCCCUUUCCCCGGGAAUUAUCCCGCUCCUUUCCCUCCGAUCCCCGCCCCCGGAGCAUCAGCUCCCGGCAGAUGCCCUUCGAGCUGUCCCGGCUGCCGCAGGGAGCUUUUUUUCCCCCGCGGUUGGAUCCGUCCCAGCGCGGCGUGGGAGGAAGGCGAGGCGAUGGCUCAGCAUUUCCAGCAUCCUCCCCCGAGGAUGGAGCCGGUUUUCCAGGUUUUGGGUGCCCUGUGCUGCUCUGGGGACCCUUCAGGGACCAGGGGAAGGUGGGAGCAGGAGACCUGCGAUCCUGGAGCACUCAGGGGUCAGGGAAAGGGGGAAGGGGGAGAUCUGGGAUCCUGGAGCACUCAGGGAAAAGUGGGAGUGGGAGAUCUGGCAUCCUGGAGCACUCAUGGAUGAGGGGAAGGUGGGAGCAGGAGACCUGGGAUUCUGCAGCACUCAGGGAAAAGUGGGAGCAGGAGACCUGGGAUCUUGGAGCACUCAGGGGUCAGGGAAAAGUGGGAGUGGGAGAUCUGGGAUCCUGGAGCACUCAGGGAAAAGUGGGAGUGGGAGACCUGGGAUCUUGGAGCACUCAGGGGUCAGGGAAAAGUGGGAGUGGGAGACCUGGGAUCCUGGACUGCUCAGGGGUCAGGGAAGUGGGACCAGGACACCUGGGAUCCUAGGAAACCUCAGGCUCCGGGGGAAGGUGGCAGAAGGACACUUGGGAUCCUGGAGCACUCAGGGUCCAGGGAAGGUGGGAGCAGCCCCUGGGCAGCAGGAAACCUGGAAUGCUGCCCAUGGGAUGCAUCCUGGGGCUCGGCAUCCCUUCCUCACCGUGGCUGCAGGUGAGGCUGGAGACUCUGCUCCUCAAAUCCCUCACGGCCAAGGAGGGAAAUAUUUAUUUGCAGCUGGAUAUUUAUUGAAUAAAUAGGAAGGAGAUGAUUUUUGGAGGGAGGGGGGGAAGAAAAAGAAACAAAAAAGAGAACAAACAAAGCAGCUCAGGCAGCCUCCCUGUCUUAUCAACCCUCAAGUUCUCCUUCAUCUGUGCUCAAAUCUCUAUAAUUUACUCGUCUUUCCCUCGCAGUGUUUACAGCUUUUAUGUCGUUUGAAGGUUAUUUAUAACAAUUAUGUAAGGAGGAAAGAAAAGUUCCAUAAACUGAGCAGUAAUUACCUCCACAGCCGGCGUUUAAGGAGCGUCGUAAACACGAGGAACAAUAAAUGGAACGGAAGAGGGAACAAUUGGCUGUAAAUAAACACACAGGUAACGAGGAGGAGACAAAACAAACCCGCUGGUGACACAGAGCUCUGCAGGGGAGCGCCGGGCCGGGAAUGGAGCAGCUGGAGAAGCUGCCAGGGGGUCAAAUAUCCCGGGAUGUCGUUCCAGGGGGGGCUCAGGGGCGUCAAAGGCACCAGAGUGUCCCUGAUGUGCACCCUGAAGGGUCACAGGGGGGAUUUUGGGGGUCUCUGUGGGUGAACUCCUCCUUCCUUGCCCCUGAGGAGGAUGCAGGGGGGUUGGAUGAGGAUGCAGGACGGAUUAUGAGGAUGCAGGAUGGUUCCUGAGGAUGCAGGAUGGUUCCUGAGGAUGCAGGAUGGUUGGAUGAGGAUGCAGGAUGGUUUGGUGAGGAUACAGAGUGGUCUGAGAAGGUUGCAGGGUGGUUUGAGGAGGUUUCAGGAUGUUUGAUGAACAUGUAGGAUGGUUCCUGAGGAUGCAGGGUGGUUGAUGAGGAUGCAGGAUGGAUUAUGAGGAUGCAGGGUGGUUUGUGAGGAUACAGGAUGGUUGAUGAGGAUGCAGGAUGGUUCCUGAGGAUGCAGGAUGGUUGAUGAGGAUGCAGGAUGGAUUAUGAGGAUGCAGGGUGGUUUGUGAGGAUGCAGGAUGGUUUCAGGGAGAUGCAGAGCGGUCUGAGAAGGUUGCAGGAUGGUUUGAGGAGGAUUCAGGAUGUUUGGUGAGCAUGUAGGAUGGCUGAUGAGGAUGCAGGGUGGUUGGAUGAGGUUACAGGAUGGUUCCUGAGGAUGCAGGAUGGUUCCUGAGGAUGCAGGGUGGUUGGAUGAGGAUGCAGGAUGGAUUAUGAGGAUACAGGAUGGUUUGUGAGGAUGCAGGAUGGUUCCUGAGGAUGCAGGAUGGUUCCUGAGGAUGCAGGAUGGUUCCUGAGGAUGCAGGGUGGUUGAUGAGGAUGCAGGAUGGUUGAUGAGGAUGCAGGGUGGUUGAUGAGGAUGCAGGGUGGUUGAUGAGGAUGCAGGAUGGUUCCUGAGGAUGCAGGGUGGUUCCUGAGGAUGCAGGAUGGUUCCUGAGGAUGCAGGGUGGUUGAUGAGGAUGCAGGAUGGUUCCUGAGGAUGCAGGGUGGUUGAUGAGGAUGCAGGAUGGUUCCUGAGGAUGUAGGGUGGUUCCUGAGGAUGCAGGGUGUUUGGAGGGGGAUCCUGCCUCCCCCAGUGCCUCUCCAGGCUGUGUUUUUGGAGGCAGAGGGCAGGCAGGGCAGUUGGGAGGCUGCAGCUCCCGCUGCCCUCGGGCUUUGACACCUCCUUGAAGGAGAAUUCCCAGUGAGCCCCUUUGGGCUCCUGGGAGGCAGCAGGGGUUGUUUUCCUCCUCCCAGCUCCCCCAGUUUGGAGCCCAGUGAGUCUGUCCAGGGGCCGUGUGAGACAAAAGAAGAGGUUCUUUAAUUUUGUUCUAAUUUCCAGUGAUGUUUGCUAAGUCACUGUGGGCCCUUAUCAGCCCUUUCCAUUUCCUGAGGAAUCCCAUUCUCUUCUCUGUCCUCUCUGAGCUCGAGCCCCAGAUCUGAAGAGCUGUUUAUUAUCUGCUUUGCCUCCUGAUAAGCUCCUGUUUAUAAAUUCGCCUCCCCUUCUAUAUAUCUCCAUUUGCUUGUUGUUUGGUUUUUGUUUUUGGUUUUUUUUCCUUCCUGAUUUUUUUAAUUUAUUUAUUUCUUUUUAAACUGUAGAUAAGACAUUUUCUCCCUUUUUGCUGGCUGCCUGCCAGCCCAGGGCCCCUCUCCAGCCCUGACAUCGCCUCGGGGACGUUGGGGGUUCGUAUUUCGGGUAAAUUCACUCACUUCAGGGUCACCCAGGAGGGGUUUUUUUCCCCCUCGACCACCAGCUCUGGAUGGGACCUUCCCAUUCCAUGGGGUGCAGCUCCCAGGGGGAUGCAGGAGGAUGCAGAGGGAUGCAGGAGUGUGCACAAGAUGCAGAAGGACACAGAAGGAUGCAGGAGGAUGAAAGAGGAUACAGGGGGACGUUGGAAGAUGCAGGAGGGAGCAGGAGGAAUCAGGAGGAUGCAGGAAGGUGCAGAAGGACACAGGAAGGUGCAGAAGGACAGAGGAAGGUGCAGAAGGAUGCAGAAGGGUGCUGGGGAUGCAGGAAUGUGAAGGAGGAUGCAGGAGGGUGCAGGGGAUGCAGGGAGAUGCAGGAGGAUGCAGGAGGAUGCAGGGGAUGCAGGGAGAUAUAGGGGAUGCAGGAGGAUCCAGGGAUGCAGGAGGAUGCAGGGGGAUGCAGGAGGAUGAAAGAGGAUACAGGGGGAUGCUUGAAGAUGCAGGAGGAUGCAGGAGGAUCCAGGGGAUGCAGGGAUGCAGGGGGAUGCAGGAGGAUGCAGGGAAUGCAGGGAAUGCAGUAGGAUGUAGGGAUGCAGGAGAAUACAGGAGGAUGCAGGGGAUGCCAGAGGAUCCAAGGAUGCAGGAGGAUCCAGGGGAUGCAGGGAAGCAGGAGGAUGCAGCUCCCAGGGAGCUGAGGCAGGAGAGGACCUGGCUCUGGAAUUGCUCUGGGACUGUCCCCACCUACACCAAGAGGAAACAGCCCCAAAACCUCCUUUCCUUCCCAUUUCCCGACUUCCCUGAGCGGGGCUUUACCAAACCUGUGCUCCCAGAGGGAAGGGACAGCUGUGGCCCCCCAGGAAAUAUUUCCAGAGCACAAAGUUGUCCCCAGCCACCCCCCAGGGCAGGAGGGGGGACGAUCCAUCAGCCCCGGGUGUCACCUCAGGGCCUCUUUGCCGCCCGGAAAAGCCGGAUCCAUCCCGCUCCUUCCCAGCAAGGACACCCAGCAAGGUCCCUGUCACCCGCCUGAAAUAUGGAGAGGCCACCAGGGCUGGGAAAACUUCCACCAAACCCAGCUUUUCCUUUGAAUUACUCCCGAGGUUUGCUCUGCUGCCCGGCCAGGGAGAGGCUCCGGCUGUUCCCAGCAGGGGCCCGGGGUGCAGAUUCCCGAGGGGGGGACGGAUGAACUCGGCUCCAGGCAGGGGGGAAGAGUCACCAGGACCUGCUGUGGGGUUUGGGGUUGGGGCUGGACCCGGUGGCUGCACUGGAAUUCCUGGGCAAAGGGCUCCUGGUGGAGGUGGGGGGCACUGGGAGGGAUCCUGUGCUCCGGGUCCCGGCUGGAGCGUCGUGUUCCCGAGGGAGGGAUCCCUGAGGAGGUUCCCAGGGGCUGAGCCCAGGGCUGAGGACACUGAGAGGGUUUAAUGGGGCAGGAGGAUGCAGGGGGGGCAAAAGGAUACAGGAGGGUGUCAGGGGGUGUAGGAGGAUGAAGGGGGAUGCAAAAGGAUACAGGAGGGUGUCAGGGGGUGUAGGAGGAUGAAGGGGGAUGCAGGAGGAUGCAAAAGGAUACAGGAGGGUGAAAGGGAUGCAGGGGGAUGCAGGAGGGUGCAGGGAGAUGCUGGAGGAUGCAGAGGAAUGUAGGAGGAUGCAGAGGAAUGUAGGAGGACUCAGGAGGAGCCGUGGGGAUGCAGGAGGGCACAGAAGGACUCAGAGGGAUACAGGAGGGUGCAGGGAGAUUCUGGAUGGUGAAGGAGGAUGCAGGAGGAUGCAGGAGGGUGCAGGAGGAUACAGGAGGAUGCAGGAGGGUGCAGGAGGAUACAGGAGGAUGCAGGAGGGUGCAGAGAUUGCAGAGGACACAGAAGGACGCAGGGGCUCCACAGUGCAACCAGCCCAAUCCCUCCUGGCUCUAUUUUGCAACCAUCCCACCGAGGGCAGGGGGCAGAGCAGCACCCAGAGCCCCUUCCCUGCCCCAGGCCAUGGGGAGCAGCACCCAGAGCCCUUUCCCUGCCCCAGGCCAUGGGGAGCAGCACCCAGAGCCCUUUCCCUGCCCCAGGCCAUGGGGAGCAGCACCCAGAGCCCCUUCCCUGCUCAGCCGAGCAGCUCUGCCAACAUCUCCUCUGUGCACAGCUGUUCAAAGACAAUAAAAAUUACCCUCCUGCCCUGCAGACUUCUCUCUGACAGCCCGUCUGGGGCUGAUCUGUGGCCAGCAGGAGCCCUGUGUCAGGAUGGGGGCCUGGCUGAGAGCAGGCAGGCUCUCCCCGGGCUCGGAGCUUGGUCAGAGCCUCUUUCAAGCAGGGUUAAAAAUGCAUGAGGGGACAAGGAUCACAACUGUGAGUCUGCCAGGAACCAAGGCUGCUGCUUUGACUUCACCCCCUGCAUCCACCACGGGGACCCCCCGGAGCAUCCCUGCUCCCGGUUUGGAGGGACAGGCCGGGGUCAGAGGGAUGCUCAUCCCUCAUUCCCAGCCCCUCCCAGCCCCUCCCAGCUCCUCCUGUUGCCCGUUUCUGCCUGGUUUUUGCAGGGGCAGGAGGAGUUUUGCUGUGAAAAGUCCAUUCCAAAGCUGCCACGUGCUGCCCAUCCAACCCCUGGGAGAUCCCAGCUCACGCCAGAGGGAAGCUCUUCCCUCUGGGAAGAUUCCCUCCGGAUUUAACUUGGGAAAAUGAUAAUAAAAGGGCAAAAACCCCCUCAAUUCCAUGCUGGCCUUGGGGAGGGGAGGUGAUUUCCCAGCCAUGUGGGGGGUGGAUGGGUCUCCAAGGCUUUGCUCCUGCCUGGCAUCGUGUGGAGCAUCCCUGGCACGUCCCCUCCCGUGGCACAGGGGGCACGGGUUUGGCAGGGCUGUCUGUGAGCAGGGGGCAUGGGGGGGGGGACUGCAGCCCUCAUUUGGGAAGGGAGUUGCCAUGGAAACCCAUCCCUUUCCUUUCUGACCACUGGAGAACACUUGUUCUCUGGUGCCAGGGAGGGAAACUUGAGCGGGAGGGGGGUGGGAGGGAGGUGGGGAACGAAACAGGGGGGAAAAACUGGGGGGAGAAAAUUCCCUGGCAGAGGAGAAAACGCCCCUGUGAGGCUGAGCCUCACCCUGCCCACCCCCCCUGCUCGCAGGGACGUGCCAAACCCAGCCAGGGCCACCAGGUACCAUCGGGGGGGGCUCUCCCUGCUGCCCACCCGGGAUGCUCCGGCGUUUUUCCGCCUGCCAGGCAAUGAACUGCUUCUCCCGGGCACCUGAACCUGAAUUCCUGCGGGGACCAGCACAAGCUCUAACAUUUUCUUGGAGGAAAAGGUUGUUACUGAGAUUAUUGACCUGGAGGGCAGAGUUAAAGCAGACUGGAAAUCAUAAAAAAACAAUUCCAUUUUCCACCCAGACUAUCAAGGCUCCCAGCAAAGUCUCCCUGGUUCUUUUCUUCUCUCCUUUUUUUUUUUUCUUUUUUAUUUUCCUCUGCUAACAGGCAGUUUUUAAGGUCACGGCGCUGCCUUGCUGUGCAUUAUCAAGUCAUUUACACAAUAUAUUUCUUCCCUCGGUGUUUCUUCCCCUGAUAAAGCAUCAAAUGCCAGGGCAGGAACGGGAGGGCUCUGGGAGGGGAUUGCUGGAGCAGAACCCUCCCCGGGAAGGACAGAGGUGAGAACAGCCAGGGAGGAGGGGGAGAAAGGCUGGCAGAGGUGAGAAACGCCGGGAGAAAGCCUGGAAUAAACCAGGCUUUGUGGUU